rnacentral:rRNA from 1 species
UACGUAGGGUGCGGGCGUUGUCCGGAAUUAUUGGGCGUAAAGAGUUUGUAGGUGGUUUGUCGCGUCUGCUGUGAAAAUCCGAGGCUCAACCUCGGACUUGCAGUGGGUACGGGCAGACUAGAGUGUGGUAGGGGAGACUGGAAUUCCUGGCGUAGCGGUGGAAUGCGCAGAUAUCAGGAGGAACACCGAUGGCGAAGGCAGGUCACUGGGCCAUUACUGACACUGAGAAGCGAAAGCAUGGGGAGCGAACAGG